rnacentral:rRNA from 1 species
GGAGGGUGCAAGCGUUAUCCGGAUUCACUGGGUUUAAGGGUGCGUAGGAGGGCAGGUAAGUCAGUGGUGAAAUCUCCGGGCUCAACCCGGAAACUGCCGUUGAUACCAUCUGUCUUGAAUACUGUGGAGGUGAGCGGAAUAUGUCAUGUAGCGGUGAAAUGCUUAGAUAUGACAUAGAACACCAAUUGCGAAGGCAGCUCACUACACAUUUAUUGACUCUGAGGCACGAAAGCGUGGGGAUCAAACAGGAUUAGAUACCCUGGUAGUCCACGCCCUAAACUAUGGAUACUCGACAUACGCGAUAAACUGUGUGUGUCUGAGCGAAAGCAUUAAGUAUCCCACCUGGGAAGUACGACCGCAAGGUUG